GAGAGUAUAGCUCAAGUGAUAGAGUGCAUGCUUAGCAUGCAUGAAGUCUGGGUUCAAUCCUCAGUACCUCCA
rfam:Camelus ferus unplaced genomic scaffold scaffold775, whole genome shotgun sequence.